GGUUCCUUAUCAAAGGGAGCACAUCUGUUAGCGUUUGUUUGAGUUACAUAUUUUCCUAUUGUUUCUUUACCUCUCUUCUGAAUUUUGUUGGGAUAGCUUAUGUGAAAUAUUUUUCUUAUGUUUUACUUUCAUCUGGUGGGUUCCAUGCUAUAGUUUCCAUGUGCUUUUUCCCCCCUUCAUUGUCUUCCUUUCACUAAGGACCGCAUGAAUAGCAGAUCAGCGGUUUGCUUGGAGUCGAGUGUUCUUUAAUUGGGUUAAAUGUAUAUUUUCCAUUAACUGAAAUUAAAAGAUGUGAGAUGUCAAUGACGGCCUCUCUAUUCGCUACUGAAGAUACACUAUGAAACAGGGAAGAAAUCAGGGGCUAACAGCAUAUAUAAGACAAUCUUUUGUACCUGGAUGCAUAUAUGGUUGCUUGUAAAGAGUCAUACGUCAAACUAAACACUGAACAAAUAGGGGGAUAAGGAUUUGCCCUACGGAAUGAACAGAAACUAACAUAAUUGGGUAAUGUAACAACCACCAAUAGCCCAAUUAUAAACCCAAAGAAAGCAGCAGACUAGAUUCCAGACAGAAGAAACACAGAGAUCAGGUGUCAGCUGUGUCACUAAGCCACAAAUUCCAAACUAGACGGAGAAUUAGAGAGACAUCAAAUGGGUUGCUUUCCAAUGACGAAGAGCAGGUACCUGGAAGGUUAUGGGUUUACUGGCGAGUGUCUUCACUUGUCAUAACCGCUUGGCGUAUGUUAGCCCUGGUUUGACCUCCAGUGUCCCUUCUCCAACUCGCUUUCUUGUGAUCUAUGUCACGGUGACCUUUCCAGCUAGGCAGCUACAAAAGAAGAGAGAAGAGGUAAGAAAUUGACUGGGUAACUUAUGAUUAUCACGUGAAGAGUGUCAACAACUUGAGAUUGGUCUCCCUUCUUUUCCAUUUUUCUUAUAUUUACCUCUUUGUUUUCAGCUUGUUAGUGCCUCCUGAUAUGCCUCUUUUCAUUUUUAGGGUCACUUGUGUCUGUACCUUUUCUUUAUGCCUAGGGGAGCUCCUUAGACAUGCAUGUCACUUCAUCUGGGGCGCUUGCCUAGGCAUUGCUUGAUUGAAGCCGCCUCAUGUAGAGGUAGAUGAGGAGCUUCCACAGAGCCUUAAGGUGCCUGAGUGCCUAGGUGAGCCGCAACCGAGGUGCUCGCCUUUGACUAUGGUGAUUGUGAAGAUAUUCCUUAAGUGAAAGGAUUCUUUCUCUGAAUGAUUACAUGAUAAGUACAAGGGAAGAAGUGAUAAGCACAAGUGUAUUUUGAAUGAGCUUUGAAAGUGGUGUCUAAUUGGGGACAUAAUUUGGUGAAAGGAACCAUAUCUUGCACUCUGUGAGACCUUUGUAAUUGAUGACCUAGAUAACAGGUAAAUAGGCAAUGCAGACAUAUUAUGAAUGACAAAAGCCCCAAUUUCAAUGGUUGACUGUGUCUUGGGUCUGCUAGGUUAAGGCAUAGGGCAAUGCAUUCUUUGUAUGAAAUUCUGGUAAAUUAGUGGCUGACGUGCUAAUUAUUGCAGAGUUGCAUACUUGCUUGUUUCAGAGUGGUGCAAUAACCUUAGAGGAAUAAAACUCAUAAAACCCUUAUAUUUUCCAUUUUCUAAUUUACGAACUGGACAAAUGUACACAUACCUGGGUGUUUUAGGACAUGGCAGCUGUAUUAUUUCUAUAAAUUCUCAAAUUGAAACAAAUAAUAGAAUGGAGUCAUAAAAGUUUAGAAACAUAAUUCAUUUGUUUUCUAAAUGAAUGAAACCAGCAUAGAAUAUGAAACUGAGUCCUCUACUUUCUAUGUUAUUCAACCAUCUUAUUUCAAUAAGUAACCAAAGUGAGAUAAAUAAGGGAAUAGAAAAUAAAAUAUGCAAUGAGUGAUAAAAAUUGAGAAACAUAAUCUAUUUGUUUUCUACAAGAAUAAAUUGAAUAUAGAAUAUUGAACUGAUUCCUUUACUUUUUAUGUUGUUUUGGAAUUCUUAUAGUUUAGCUUUAUAGUGUUAAGUUAAUAAUCAUCUUUAUGUUACACUGCAUUUCUUAUUUUUCUCUUUUUAUUACUAACACUUAACGAAUGGGAUUUAACAGCAGCUGUUAUGAGGAAGGAAAAAGUGAGUUUAAGGCUUGAUAUGAUAUUGUUUUUAUGAGGAAUGAAUUUACAUGUGUCUGUUUAGAUUUCAUACCUUUUCUUUUCACAUGUUUAUUAGAUUAUUUGUAGCUAGGUUGGAUAUUUAAUGUAGCUGAAGCCAUGCAAAGUAAUUUCUGUUGGCACUCUCUGUUGAGGUUGCUUGAUCUUUGCAAUUACAUUGUAGAAGGAAAAAGUUAAAAAAUAAAUAAAUAGAUUAAUGUCAUCUUAACUUUUAAAAUAUCAUCCCAUGACAUUAGGAGAUAAAAAUGAACUAAGCAAUACAAAUAACUUGUUGUUUAUUUCUAAAAUACUCAAGGUAAUUAGAAUUGCAUUCCUAACCAUUAUCACAAUAUCUUUCAGUUAACCGACUUACAGUUACUUCAUCUAUGAAGUGCGAAUACCCUGAUUUAGAUGUCUUACCCCUAUUUGCUAUAUAUUGGACACAUAUGUUUAGCAUAGAUGGAAAAUUUUUUAUGAGGCAUAUCAUGUCACAUAUCCAAUGGUUAUAUAACUUAUAAGUCAUUGGGCACAUUAAUGUAAGUUGUUAGCACCCUAGUUGCUUGACAACGAUAACAUGAUCCAAGUUGAGUCUACUUAAAAAGUUGGGUGUUGGAAUACUUGCUUCUUUUCUUGUGUUGUUUUCCAUAUUAAUAAUGUUGAUAGAGAUAUAUGCUUUUUUUUUACUAACUAUUUUUGAUGAAUAACACAUUGACUUUUCCAUUUAAAAUUUUGAACUCCUAUAUUAUAGCUGUUCAUGACUAAUGAGGUAAUAUUACUUUUUAUAUUAAACAAUGUCUUAAUUUGUUAAUGGAGUUGAAGAUAUUAUUUUUUAAUAAAUUUGGUUAGUUUUGAAUAUUCUUAUCAUAAAUAUAGAUAUUAUUAAUUUAAGGAAAAAAAGUCUUUAAUAUUAUUAAUUUAGGGAAAAAAAUCUUUUCUCAUCUUUUCUUUGAGAAUCUAUACCCAUCAUAUUUGUAUUUGUUGUCACAUUGAGACUCAAACCAUGAAUUGAAGAAGAAUUAGGGAAAUCUCCUGCAAAACAAUAAGGGCCGUCCAACACCUUAGCAUUGUCAAUCAUCCUCUCCUAGGUUUGAUCCUGAAACACACAAUAGGAAGGGUAGAAGAUUACAUUGUAAUUCAUAUCUGUGGUGAUUUGAUUGACUGAUAGUAAGUUAUGUUGCAAACCAGGAACAUGUAGUACAUAAUUGAGCCUUAGUUUAGAUAUACAUACUAUUCCCAUUCCCAAGUGAGGUGGUUCCAUCGGCCAUAGUUAUAUUGAGGGAGGAGUUACAUAGGGUAUAAUCAAUCAUAGAACAUGUAGAAUUUGUCAUAUGAUCUGAUGCACCAGUAUCAACUGCCCAUAUAUUCUUAGAAAUCCUUUUAGAAGCUAAGGAGUAGUGAUGGGAAUUACCUUGCAAGGCUACUGAUGCAAUGGCCUGUGGAUUAUUAGAACUUGAUUGGGCUAUACCUUGAUUGAGAAGCCUGUACAAGGCUUGUAUCUAAUCUUCGGACAGGUUCAAACUAGAUUUAGUUUCUGCUGAAACCUCUGCAUUAUGUGCAGAUCUGGGGCUCUCCUUCUUGGGUUGUGGCUUCCAAUUUGCUAGUUUUCCAUGGAUCUUCCAGUAGGUUUCCUUAGUGAUAGGGUUUCUUGCAAUGAUCACACCAUAUUUUUUCCCUUCCUUGAGUCUUGGGAAGUUCUCCCUGUUUGAUAGAGGCAAGGGCAGAGUUUUGGUGUGGCAAAAUAGGGUCUGUUUGGUGCUGAAGCAUCACCUUACGCCUGCUUUCCUCCCUUAGUUUUGCAAAUACUUCCUUAAGAGAUGAUAAGGGCUUUGUGCCCAAGAUUCUCCCUCGAACUUCAUCCAAUUCGGGAUUAAGGCCAUAUAGGAAGUCAAAAAUUCGUUCUUUUUCUAUCAUCUUAUUGUAUUUGUUGCUAUCAGCGGGAGAUUCCCAACUGAUGGUAUAAAACAUAUCCAUUUCAUGCCACAAUUCCACCAAAAUAUUAAAAUAUUCAGUAACAUUGCUCAUACCUUGUUUGGUUGUCCUAAUGGCAGAUCAGAUUUCAAAGCAUUUAGAGGAAUUCUCCAAGUCUGAGUACAUCUCUUGGACUGAUUCCCAAAUUUCUUUUGAUGUUUUGUAGAAUAGGUAUGUUCUCCCAAUUUUAGGCUCCAUAGAGUUGAUCAACCAAGCCAUGAUAGUUGAAUUCUCUGCCUCCCAAAGGCCAUAGGUGGUUGUCGUGGAUGGUGGAGUGAGGAUAGAUCCAGUUAGAUAAUCGGAUUUGCCCUUGCCCUUGAUCACUAACAUUAUCGAUUGAGACCACUCUCUAAAAUUACUCCCAUUUAACUUAUGUUGAGUAAUUUGUAAAGGGUGGUUAUCUAUAGGUGUUGUAGAGAGAUUUGAUGAAGAGGAAGUGGGAGAAAGGUUCUUGGAGAACUGGUGGCUGAGGCUUCGGUUAGGGUUGGAUUUGGGUUUGUUUCGGCCAUGAUCGAAACUGAAAGAAGUCACUGUCGAACCUGUGCUCUGAUGCCAUGAAACAAGCCUUAGGAAAUUAAGAAUGCUUGCUUAGAUUGAUAUUGAGAGGACUUUGAAAAUAUAUACAGGUUUACAACUUUAUCUCGUUCCUAUAAAGUAGGAAAAGAUUUUGAGUAAUCUACUCCUAAAAUCUAGGAACAUCUAUCUCCUAAAGAUUAGGAGAUAAAACAUAUAUAAAAUACACAUUUGCAAUAAUUAUCUACAACUAAAAACAUAAUUUAAACAACUUAAUAUAAUCUGAUUUAAUCUCUUCACCAAGUGUUGCAAAGCUUCCACACUCUUUAACUUAGACUUCUCCUUCCACUUGAAACCUCAUUCUCGUCCAACAUAUACAACUAUAUAACAUAUAUACAUAUACAUAUACGUAUAUUUGUACUACAUAUAUGCAUAUACAUAUAGAAACAUAUAUGCAUGUCUACAUACUUGUAUAAACAUAUAAAUUCAUAUUCUAUAUCUAUACAUAUAUAUAUAUGUAUGUGCUAUUCUGUACAUACAUAUAUAUUCAUAUUGGAAUGAAGAUGAAUGGUAACUUUAGAUUUUUGUUAUUUUAUUUCCACUGAAUAUUCUAAAUUUGGGCUGUGAUAAGAAUUGAACGAUUCCCUUAAUUUGUGAAUCACUUCUGAUUCACACAAUUCCUUUUUGAUUCUUCCAAUUUUAAGACCCUUAUAGAUAUCCAUAGUUUUAGUUAAGGUUUGUCAUGAAUCGCAUGAUUUGGGUUGUGAAUAAUGUGAUGCUAAUAACUAUGUACUGUAUCGUAGCCCUGGGUGCUAGAUGUGCACAACUUAAUCUAUAAAUAAUUCGUUUGAGAGCUGUCCACUAGGAGAUAGGAGCAACUAUUUUAUGGACAUAACUUAAUCUGAUAGCUCUAUAACUUCCCAAGGGCAUUCUUUUUGCAUGCAAAAGAAUGUGUCAAUGCACAUACAUAAGCUUCUUACUGUCUGACUUGAAGUUUAAACUUGGUACUUGAUAAUCUGAGAUGUGCCCAUUAGCCAGCAUCCUCAGCCUGAUCUCCAAGUGUUGAUCAUUGUGGUAAAGUAGCAUAAUUACAUAAUUCUGAACUUUAGAUUUUUUUGUAAUUAAGUAUAUUCUAACUUCAUUGUGAAGAGAACUCAUAUGGAAAUAUGCACUUGUAAGAAGCUUGUGACCUUGUUUUGAUGUAAGAAAGGACUACGUGUCUCCUUGUCAUUGCAUUGUGUAUCAAGUGGCCUUAUUUUGCCACUUGUCUACUUGCACAUUGGGUGUUCCAUUUAUCCUCUUUGGCAAUUUAAAUGGGUUUGUAUUGUUUCUUUGAAGGUGUAUUUGUGAUUAAAUUGAGAAAAUGAAAAGAUCCUCAAUUGAAGUGAGUAAUGCAAAAAUCUUUUAUGGAACCUGGGUUGAAAUCUGUUUCCCUGUCUCCUCCUCCUUGUGUUUUGUUUCUCUGCUGGAUUUUUGUCCAUGAUUUCCUAAGCUUGUUGGGUCUUGAAGCUUUGUCCCCAUUGCAAGUAUCCUGCUGCAAUAUCAUAUUUCAAAAGCGAGCAUUAUAGCCCUCCUCAUCUUAAACAACAGAAGAAAAUGGCCAUCCAACUGAGAUCUUCUAUUUGCAAGUUUCUUAUAAAUAUUCUCAUUUAUUCAAAGCAUGCCCUCCUAAUUUUUUCCCUACUUACCAUUCUCUCUUGACUGGACUCUCCAUAUCAUUAGGAUGCUAGUAAUUAUCACCCAUCAUAUGGAAAGCUUUGUAUUUUGGUUCCCUCCUUUAAACCAUGAAAAUCUUGAUUUUGGCUUGCAGUUGGUAAAAUCUUGACGAGUGAAUGCUUUUUCCUGGAAAAAUUGCAUAAAAGGACAAGGAUUCUUUUCACUUCAUAUUUGUUACUCUAGAGUUUAUCAGUUCUAUAAAGAGCUUAUAAGUUGUAAGAGCUUAUUUGGUAGGACAUUUUGGUCUUUCACUUUGUCAAGAACUUUUUUGAAAUCAUUUAUAAGCUCUCUAAAAAAAAAAUUAGGGGAACCAGCUUUUUGGAAAAGCUGUUGGAAGAGCUUUAAGUGAGGUAGCUUAUAAGUUCUUCCGUGUUAUCCAAACAGGUGAAAAACUUUUAAAAGCUGAUAGAGAGCUUAUAGGUUCUCUUUGACCAAAAAAUGAGCUAAGCCAAACACUCUCUAGCUCUCCUCAAGCUUCUAUUUCUGUUCAAAAGUUGGUUUUCCAUGGGUGCACUUGAUAUCUAUGACUUAGUUGUUCUUUUGGAUGAAUCCCUUCCCACACUAAGCCCUGAGCUGUACUUUGUGUAUGUUGUCUAUGACUUGGUUUUUGAUUGUUUAACCUCUUGAGUAUGUUAUUCUGACGCACA